rnacentral:rRNA from 1 species
GACGAACGCUGGCGGCGUGCUUAACACAUGCAAGUCGAACGGAAAGGCCCUGCUUUUGUGGGGUGCUCGAGUGGCGAACGGGUGAGUAACACGUGAGUAACCUGCCCUUGACUUUGGGAUAACUUCAGGAAACUGGGGCUAAUACCGGAUAGGAGCUCCUGCUGCAUGGUGGGGGUUGGAAAGUUUCGGCGGUUGGGGAUGGACUCGCGGCUUAUCAGCUUGUUGGUGGGGUAGUGGCUUACCAAGGCUUUGACGGGUAGCCGGCCUGAGAGGGUGACCGGCCACAUUGGGACUGAGAUACGGCCCGGACUCCUACGGGAGGCAGCAGUGGGGAAUAUUGCACAAUGGGCGGAAGCCUGAUGCAGCAACGCCGCGUGCGGGAGGACGGCCUUCGGGUUGUAAACCGCUUUCGCCUGUGACGAAGCGUGAGUGACGGUAAUGGGUAAAGAAGCACCGGCUAACUACGUG